ensembl:lncRNA
UGCUGAUUUGAGUUGUCUUAUUCUGUGUUUUUGUGCUUUGUCUUUUGUUACACAGAGUGAAAGAGAUCUUUGGUUUUGCCUUUGCUGACUGCUGAUCUGAUCGUCUCAGUCUGGUGACCUGCUGCAGAAAACCCUCUCCCUCUAUCAUUAACAAGCCAUUAACAAGCAAAUUCAGUCUGUCCUAUCACUCUCCCUCUCCCUGCUCCAUCUUUUUUGACAAGGGAUUCUAUCUUCUAUCAUUUCUCCGCCAUGUACUCUAUCUAAUUUUGACAAGCAUAAGCCCUAGUUUGACAAGAAACCAAGUUUGACAACAAACCAAGGUUGACAACAAACCAAGUUUUUGGAAAUUGAAGUUACCGCAACUUCGACGAUCUGUUUUCAGAAAUCUGAGAGAUCUCUGCUCUCACUGCUCCUUCUUUCCUGUCGUUAAACUCUCUCAUAUCCACUCAUUUUACUGGAAAUUACAAAGGCUGCCCUGAGAACCCAGACUUCCUGUUUCCUGACUGCUGCAGAACAUCCAGCUGAAGAAUCCUCAUCGCCUGUCAUCUGAUCACUACACCACCACAGCUCCUUAUAUUUGCUUUAGAUUUUAGAUAUCUGAAAGAUUUACACAAAGUCUACUUUAAAACUAAGAGUUUAAUUAUAGCCUGUUGAUUGAUUGUUGAGAUUUAUUCUGCAUAUUACUUCACAGAAGUAUAGACCUAUUCAUUAACCAGUCUGGUUAAAAAAAAAAGUAUAAUAUACAGUUUUUGAAAAAGCUACAAUAAAACUUUUUAAAGAUCUUUCAAUAACUUUUAUAUUGAGUUUGUAUUUAAGUCAGCCUUUUACAUCAAUUAAACAGUUAUAAGAACACUUUACCAUUUGUAUAGUUUUACAUUU